UUCUGUCCGGCAGAGUAAAGCUGUGGGCAGACACCUUUGGCCGGGACCUGUAUAACACUGUCACCAAGUACUCAGGCUCCCUCCUGCUGCAGAAGAAAUACAAGGAUGUGGAGUCCAGUCUGAAGAUCAAGGAGGUGGAUGGCUUGGAGCUGGUGAGGAAGUUCUCGGAGGACAUGGAGACCAUGCUCCGCAGGAAAGUGGAGGCUAUCCAGGGUCACAGCCAAACAGACCCUCCAUGAGGGUGCCAUGGGGAAUCUCCUGCAGAGCAGCACUAAAUAAGCUUUGCCCCAUGGAACUUCUUCAUCUUGCCCUCAGACACGAGGGUUGGGUGCAGGGCAGCAAGGAUUGCUCUGCGGUUCACAGGAGGAUAAACAGAGACCCAGAGGGUCGCAGAUGGUGUAAAA
rnacentral:lncRNA from 1 species